GACGUAGGGCGCAAGCGUUGUCCGGAUUUAUUGGGCGUAAAGGGCUCGUAGGCGGUUUGUCGCGUCGGGAGUGAAAACCUCGGGCUUAACUCGGGGCUUGCUUUCGAUACGGGCAGACUGGAGGUAUGCAGGGGAGAACGGAAUUCCUGGUGUAGCGGUGAAAUGCGCAGAUAUCAGGAGGAACACCGGUGGCGAAGGCGGUUCUCUGGGCAUGACCUGACGCUGAGGAGCGAAAGUGUGGGGAGCGAACAGG
rnacentral:rRNA from 1 species